AUUAGGCCUUUAACAUCGUUAUACGUCAUUUCAAAAUUUAGUGUUUUAAUUUGAAACCUCUUAUAUAGAGUAUGCACCAAUCACUUCAGUUGAUGUAGAGAGUUUGUUUUCUACGUAUAAAAAUAGUCUGCCGGACAGUAGAGUCAGUUUCACUACUGAAAAUCUAGGGAAAUAUAUGGAUGACUAAAAUGUCAAAUGCAUUUUUCAAGCCAGAUUUACUUACCGCUCAUUUGAGUCUGCCAGACGGCGUCACCGACGCCCCACAGUCCUGAUAUAGUGAAGAACAGUUUGGGGUUGUUGGGAUGAGGCCGCCACACAAUCAAGAUCCAUAUGAGUAUCGAAUGGACGACGAAGCCCAGCGCCAUCAGUGGCAGUCUACCGAUGUAUUUCAUUAUGGUGCCGAACAGUAGCGAGCAUAUUGCAUUGACCACACCAAAGCAUAUCAUCACGUACCCGACCGAUGGAAUACCUAGGGCGCAGGACACAUAUGCCUGAAACGAACACGGUGCAUGAAUUUUGAAGAGGAAAGUUAACAAUGGAUCAUAUUUUACCAACAGAGAAAUAAUGGAGAAAUACUAUGAACAUGAUUAAGACUUGUUCAUAUUUUUGUAGACUUCAAGAGAGUCAACAAUAGUGUCAAUAUAGGCAUCAACAUCAAACAUGAACAACGCCGAGGAACUAGAAAAUCUUAGAAAAACCAAUUAAAAUAACUGGAAUGUGUAAUUUAAAAAUACACAGUAAAUUACGUUACCAAGAGCAAUAAUUAUCAUUAAAACCUGAAGCUAAACUAUCGACUUAAACAGAAAGAUAUUUUAUCCUAUACGUUUUAAUGUGUCGUUAAAAAAAGUCAGUAAGUCACGAAACUAAGCUCAAUGGUGGUAACGAUGUAUAAUG